rnacentral:rRNA from 1 species
UCCUACGGGAGGCAGCAGUAGGGAAUCUUCCGCAAUGGACGAAAGUCUGACGGAGCAACGCCGCGUGAGCGAUGAAGGCCUUCGGGUCGUAAAGCUCUGUUGUCAGGGAAGAACAAGUACCGGAGUAACUGCCGGUACCUUGACGGUACCUGACCAGAAAGCCACGGCUAACUACGUGCCAGCAGCCGCGGUAAUACGUAGGUGGCAAGCGUUGUCCGGAAUUAUUGGGCGUAAAGCGCGCGCAGGCGGUUCCUUAAGUCUGAUGUGAAAGCCCCCGGCUCAACCGGGGAGGGUCAUUGGAAACUGGGGAACUUGAGUGCAGAAGAGGAGAGCGGAAUUCCACGUGUAGCGGUGAAAUGCGUAGAGAUGUGGAGGAACACCAGUGGCGAAGGCGGCUCUCUGGUCUGUAACUGACGCUGAGGCCCGAAAGCGUGGGGAGCGAACAAGAUUAGAUACCCUGGUAGUCCACGCCGUAAACGAUGAGUGCUAAGUGUUAAAGGGUUUCCCCCCUUUAAUGCUGCACCAA